GGGGGGGGGGGGGGGGGGGGGGGGGGGAGGGGAGGGGGGCGGGAAGGGCGGGCGGGGGGGGGGUGGGGGAGGGGCGGAGGGGGGAGGAACACGGGGGGAACGUGGCCUUGACGGGGGGAGAGCGUAAGGGAGCUGGGGCGAAUACCGGAUAGGAGAUCCUGCGUCGUUGUGGUGGUGGGAUAGUGUCGGGGGUGGGGGAUGGACUCACGGCUGCUCAGCUUGUUGGUGGGGUAGUGGCUUACCAAGGCUUUGACGGGUAGCCGGCCUGAGAGGGUGACCGGCCACAUUGGGACUGAGAUACGGCCCAGACUCCUACGGGAGGCAGCAGUGGGGAAUAUUGCACAAUGGGCGGAAGCCUGAUGCAGCAACGCCGCGUGCGGGAUGACGGCCUUCGGGUUGUAAACCGCUUUCGCCUGUGACGAAGCGUGAGUGACGGUAAUGGGUAAAGAAGCACCGGCUAACUACGUG
rnacentral:rRNA from 1 species